CCGAUAUUUUUCUUGGUUCAACUGAACCAAAACCCUUCACCCUAUUAAAGGGACAACCAACUCUGAUUAAAGCCACACCCCUCCUUGUUUCUUCCUUAACCGAACCCACAAGAAGCUUCCAACCAUGAUUACACCUCAUGAUCAACCAAGGUAAUGAUGAAGCAUACAUAGGUGUUGCAUGGAGCAGAGACCAGCGAAGCCUUCACCACCUCUUCUUCUGACUAUAUAAGCACCACUCUUCCCUCCUUGAAUUCACAGAAAGCAGAGAGAGGGCAAGGAACAGAGGAACAGUCAAAGCACAAGUGAGCAAGAACAGGAGCAUUUUUCAAGUUUUCUGGCUCUUCAUCAACCACAGCACCAAGAGAAGAAGAAUGAUAGCCAAGGAAGGAGCUGAUCGAAGCUGAAAAGGGAGCUGCAUUCCACUCACCCAACUAUUCUUCGAGCUUCUCUGCUAGGUGAGGAUAGCAACUUCAUCUUCUUCCUUUCCUCCUCUAAUUCAAAAUUUUGAUCCUUCCCUUGCUUCACUCUCCUAGUUUACUCAAUUUCUGUUAACAUAACUAGCAUCACAAGCAAAGAGAGGUGGGUGAUUUUCCCUCCGCUGUUUAAUUUGGCCGAAUGGCCUGGUGAAAUGUAACCAAAACUAUUGUUCUUGGAAUGGUUAGGGUUCGGGUUCAAGGGAGAAUUAGGGACAAGUUUUGUGCUUUUGAUCAACAAAGAGGUAAGGGUUAGGAUGCUAGUUUAGUCUUAUAUGUUACUGUUAGUUGUGUUUUCUUGUUUUGGAUGAUUUAGUGUGAUUAAAUAUUGUAUUUGUUGCUAAAAUUACUACUAUUGUGCCUUGAUACUAUUGAAAAAUUGUUGAUGUAAAUAGCGUAGUGGUGAUAUUGU